rnacentral:rRNA from 1 species
AGAGUUUGAUCCUGGCUCAGGACGAACGCUGGCGGCGUGCCUAAUACAUGCAAGUCGAGCGGACCUUAGCGAUCUUCGGAUCGCUCUUGGUUAGCGGCGGACGGGUGAGUAACACGUAGGCAACCUGCCCGUAAGAUCGGGAUAACUACCGGAAACGGUAGCUAAUACCGGAUAAUUUAUCGCUUCGCAUGGAGCGGUAAUGAAAGGCGGAGCAUAUCUGUCACUUACGGAUGGGCCUGCGGCGCAUUAGCUAGUUGGUGAGGUAACGGCUCACCAAGGCGACGAUGCGUAGCCGACCUGAGAGGGUGAACGGCCACACUGGGACUGAGACACGGCCCAGACUCCUACGGGAGGCAGCAGUAGGGAAUCUUCCGCAAUGGGCGAAAGCCUGACGGAGCAACGCCGCGUGAGUGAUGAAGGUUUUCGGAUCGUAAAGCUCUGUUGCCAGGGAAGAACGUCGGGUAGAGUAAC